GGCCCCGGCAGGCAGAUUCCAGAUGUUUUGAGGGGGCAGAGGAAGUUCUUUCAUUUGUGGCGGGGUUGAGAUGUGAAGAUCCGCGGACUCAUGCGAUAAUCAUCUUCCCACACAGGGAAGCUGGAGGCAAGCCAGUUGUCCACCCUCGGUGACGAGUGGGGUCAUCUAUCUGGGCUGAGGCAGUGGGGCCCUUUGGGCUGGAGAGUUCCAAAGUUUCUGUAGACUGUAAACUCCAGAGAGGUGCCUGUUUCCUGUUUCUGUCUAUCUGUGGCCUAGAACCAGAGGAAGCAUGAACUUCACACCGGCAUCACGGACGUAAAGGAGCACAAUUGAAGUAGAGAGGAGAUUCUGAGUCAUAUGGUAAUCCUCCAUGGACUCAUUUAAGCAUCACAAAACCGCAUUGUUUUAUACCCUUGCCUGCAAUGCGCUAAGGCUCGAGUUUCCCCAUCCUCGUCAAUGAUCAUUGCCCAUUUCUCUUGCUAGUCAUCUUUGUAUGUGUAAAGUAACUUUUCAUAAUGGCCAUGAUUUGCAUUUCUCUAACGGUUAAUGAGGGUGACCAUCCUUUUAGAGGCUUGUUGGCUGUUUGUAUUAUCUGUUUAAGGAUCGUUUCCUUAAAUAGCCUUAAAUGUG